UACGGAGGGUGCAAACGUUGCUCGGAAUCAUUGGGCGUAAAGCGCACGUAGGCGGUCCGCCAAGUCGGGUGUGAAAGCCCUCGGCUUAACCGGGGAAGUGCAUUCGAAACUAGCGGGCUGGAGUACCGGAGAGGAUAGCGGAAUUCCCGGUGUAGAGGUGAAAUUCGUAGAUAUCGGGAGGAACACCAGUGGCGAAGGCGGCUAUCUGGACGGAUACUGACGCUGAGGUGCGAAAGCGUGGGGAGCAAACAGGAUUAGAAACCCUAGUAGUCC
rnacentral:rRNA from 1 species